rnacentral:rRNA from 1 species
AUGAUGGUGGCCAUCAAGAAGCUCAAGAAGGAGAGCUUCCAGGGCCACCGGGAGUGGCUCACCGAGGUCACCUACCUCGGCGACCUCCACCAUGAGAACCUGGUGAAGCUCGUCGGCUACUGCUCCGACUCCGACAGCAACAAGCUGCUGGUGUACGAGUACAUGCCCCGGGACAGCCUGGAGAACCACCUGUUCCGGCGGGGCAGCCAGCCGCCGCUGCCGUGGUCCACGCGCGUCUCCGUCGCCGUCGCCGUCGCCCGCGGCCUCGCCUUCCUCCACUCCCGUGACGUCAUCUUCUGGGACCUCAAGUCCUCCAACGUGCUCCUCGGUCCCGACCACCGCGCCAAGCUCUCCAACUUCGGCCUCGCCCGGGCCGGCCCCACCGGCGUCAAGAGUCACGUCUCCACCCGCGUCGUCGGCACGCGCGGCUACGCCGCGCCCGAGUACAUGGCCACGGGCCACCUCUCGGCUAAGAGCGACGUGUACGGGUUCGGCGUGGUGCUCCUGGAGCUAAUGACGGGGCGCCGCGCGCUGGACGAGGCCCGCAGCUUGGCGUCGGAGCUGCUGGUGGACUGGGCGAUGCCGAUGCUGCAGGGGGAGCGGCGCAAGGUGAUACGGGUCAUGGACACCAGGCUCGGCGGGCAGUACCCCAAGAGGCAGGCGCAGGACAUGGCCGCACUCGUGCUCCGCUCCAUGGCCGAUGACGUCCUCCCCUCCCUCGAGCUCCUGCUGCAGCCAAGCGCCGCCAAGUCCUCCUCCUCGACAACGACGACGUCAUCCAGAUCGCCGGCCGCGUCGGCGACGCCGGUGCAUAGAGGCCACCGUCGUCACAAAGCAUAG